UGCUCGCAAGUAUGGGGUUGUCUUGGAAUUACCCUUCAAAACCAUUUGCAACGUUUACACAAUAGAGCAGCACGUAUUUAUACUACAAAGCGUGGGUAUGAACAGGAACGCCGGUGUCCCAGGAUUUUCGCCCCCCUACAAUUUCGCCCCCCGGGGGGCGAAAUUCCUAGGAAUAUCGCCCCCCCCCCUGGGGGGCGAAAAUGCUAGGAAAUUCGCCCCCCUUUAGGAAAUUCGCCCCCCUUUAGAAACUUCACCUUUUCUUUAGGAUUUUUGUCCUCC